GACGAACGCUGGCGGCGUGGAUUAGGCAUGCAAGUCGAACGGUAUCAUCCUUUCGGGGGUGAGAGAGUGGCGAACUGGUGAGUAACACGUAGGUUAUCUACCCUCAAGACGGGGACAACCCAGGGAAACUUGGGCUAAUACCGGAUGUGAGCAACUUUUAGUUGUUUGAAAGGUGGCGUAAGCUGUCGCUUGGGGAUGAGCCUGCGUCCUAUUAGUUAGUUGGUGAGGUAACGGCUCACCUAGGCAAUGAUAGGUAGGCGGCCUUAACGGGUGGUCGCCCACACUGGGAUUGAGAUACGGCCCAGACUCCUACGGGAGGCAGCAGUCGAGAAUAGUCUACAAUGGUCGGAAGACUGAUAGUGCGACGCCGCGUGAACGAUGAAUCCCUUCGGGGUGUAAAGUUCUUUCGGCUGGGAAGAAAUCGCAUCUCCUAAUACGGGGUGUGGAUGACGGUACCAGCAUAAGAAGCACCGGCUAACUACGUGCCAGCAACCGCGGUAAUCUCGUCUCUA
rnacentral:rRNA from 1 species